rnacentral:tRNA from 2 species
GCUGGAAUAGCUCAGUUGGUUAGAGCGUGUGGCUGUUAACACAAGGUCGGAGGUUCAAGCUCUCCUUCUAGCG